UACGUAGGGUGCGAGCGUUGUCCGGAAUUACUGGGCGUAAAGAGCUUGUAGGCGGUCUGUCGCGUCUGCUGUGAAAAUCCGGGGCUCAACCCCGGACUUGCAGUGGGUACGGGCAGACUAGAGUGUGGUAGGGGAGACUGGAAUUCCUGGUGUAGCGGUGAAAUGCGCAGAUAUCAGGAGGAACACCGAUGGCGAAGGCAGGUCUCUGGGCCACUACUGACGCUGAGAAGCGAAAGCAUGGGGAGCGAACAGG
rnacentral:rRNA from 1 species